rnacentral:rRNA from 1 species
UACGUAGGGGGCAAGCGUUGUCCGGAUUUACUGGGCGUAAAGCGCGCGUAGGCGGAACGUUAAGUCCGGUCUGAAAGCCCCCGGCUCAACCGGGGAGGGUGGCUGGAAACUGGCGUUCUUGAGGGCGAGAGAGGAGGGUGGAAUUCCUGGUGUAGCGGUGAAAUGCGCAGAUAUCAGGAAGAACACCCGUGGCUAAGGCGGCUCUCUAGUACGGUACUGACGCUGAGACGCGAAAGCGUGGGGAGCGAACAGG